rnacentral:rRNA from 1 species
UACGGAGGGUGCAAGCGUUGUCCGGAGUUACUGGGCGUAAAGCGCACGCAGGCGGUCUGCUAAGUUUGGAGUGACAGUUGGUGGCUUAACUGCCAAAGUGCUUCGAAAACUGACAGACUUGAGGGCUUCAGAGGGACACGGAAUUCCGGGUGGAGUGGUGAAAUGCGUAGAGAUCCGGAGGAACACCAAAGGCGAAGGCAGUGUCCUGGGGAGUACCUGACGCUCAGGUGCGAAAGCCAGGGGAGCGAACGGG